rnacentral:misc_RNA from 1 species
GGUGUAAACUCUAGAAAUCCAGGUUAAAUUCAUGUAGCGAUCAUAUUGAACUGGAAUCUGGAAAGCUGUUGAGGAAUGGUGGAUAUAACAGGUCCAUAUCUCUGCACAUUGUCAUAGAGUUCAAACAAUGGAACAGCAAGAAGUUUUAAAUUUUUGGGUACAGCAAAGUACUCUCUUUCAGAUAAGUGAACAAGGAAAAGCUUCUUGCACUCCUUAGGCUUUGUUAUGUGGGGUGGGCAAUAUGGAUACAUGAUGGUCUCAAAGUUUGGCCUCCACCAAAUGGCCACACAUUCACCAAUCUGCCAAUCUGGCACCAGAGCAGCAGAAUUAGCACCAAGUUUGCUGGUCAGUUUUCUUUUCAAACCCUCAAUUUCAUUCUCUCCUGGCUUUAGACGUCCACCUGGCAGUUUGCAGAAUGUGUUUCCAAUUUGCAGAAGAAGUAUGUGAGGAUGAUUAUGCUCCUGUACCAGCAAAAUUGCUUCGACACUUGUUCUCAUCCCUUCUUUCAUAUAGUUGACUUUCAUACGAGCAAGACGAUCAGCUACGGAGGUAUCUUUCUCCAUUUUUGGCUCUUUAGUGCCGAAUGUGUAGCUCGACAGAGGAUAGGUGUUCACCACCGAUGAGUUCACCAUCUUUUUCUUUUUCUCCGCCUCUGCCCCGUAACCAGAUUAAAGCUUUAGUGAUCUAUCUUCUCUCUCUCUAAAUUGGAGAGUCCCUCCAGGUAAGAUUUUCAGCAGCAAGAGCCAGAACAAAAACAGGGCGAG